UGAUAUAAGAGAUUCGCAUGGAUUUCUUAUCAAAGCUCCGGCGGUAUGAUAUGGACCCGCGUCUGAUUAGCUAGUUGGUAAGGUAACGGCUUACCAAGGCGACAAUGAGUAGCCGACCUGACAGGGUGAUCGGCCACAUUGGAACUGAGACACGGUCCAAACUCCUACGGGAGGCAUCAGUGGGGAAUAUUGCACAAUGGGCGAAAGCCUGAUGCAUCAACGCCGCGUGAGCGAUGAAGGCCUUCGGGUCGUAGAGCUCUGUCCUCAAGGAAGAUAAUGACGGUACUUGAGGAGGAAGCCCCGGCUAACUACGUGCCAGCAGCCGCGGUAAUACGUAGGGGGCUAGCGUUAUCCGGAUUUACUGGGCGUAGAGGGUGCGUAGGUGGUUUCUUAAUUCAGGAGUGAAAGGCUACGGCU
rnacentral:rRNA from 1 species